rnacentral:lncRNA from 1 species
UCAUAAGUCUUGUUGAUAGCCUGGGCCCUUGAUAUGAUGAGAAUUGCACUCUAUGCUCCAACAUGUCUGGCAGCAGGCUUUUCGUUGGAAACCUUAUAGGACAGAAGAGAGUUGCAUGACAAUAGCUCUAUUUAUAUCACACAAACACACAGCUAGUAUCAUACAGAAAUGUAUUUGUUGAAACGUACACCAAAAUAUUACUGAUGAUUGCCACUGCAUGAGGAGAUUCUUCAUAUAUUUCAUUUUCUUCACAAUUUGUUAGCAUAUUUUUAAUUUUUAAAAUGAUUUUAAAUUGGCAUGUAAUAAUUGUACGUAUUGUUGAAAACAGUGAUGUCUUAAAACAUAUAAUUUAUGGUGAUCAAUUUAGGGUAAUAAACACAUCGAUCACCUCAAACAUUUAUCAUUUCUUGUACUGGACACAUGAAAAAUCCUCUCUCCUAGCUAUUUGAAAAUAUAAAUUAAAUUACUUUUAACUAUAGCUAUUAUACAGUGCUAUAGGACACUAAAACUUAUUCCUCCUAUUUAACUGUAAUUUUGUAUCAUCUAACCAACCUCUC